GUUCUGCUCUUCAGCAGAAAUUGGAACUUUCUCUAAAUGAUCAGCAGAAUGUGACAGUAAAUUGGGGUAGCAGUCUUUUGACUUCAGAGCUUGUCCCUUUGGAAACAGUGUUUCCCAUUUAAAAGAUGCAGUUACAAACACUGGUCCUAAGGAUGCCCUAAUUCCAAAUACAAAGCUAAUUCCAUCUAAACCCUUUAUGAAAGGUUAAAGAUUAGGACAGCCUCAAAGAAGCAUCUUAAUGGAAGACUCAUUCAAGUAAUGAAGGAAACGUGCAGAGUGAUCUAUCAAUGCAAUAAAAAAACUGCUUUACAAACGGUGAUGACUGCCUGAAGGUACCAAGCAGGCCCCAGCAAACACCAGCGCAUGAUUCAACUCGGCUUUCUAAGGAGGAGGACUGCAAAUCUGGGCUUCUAGGAAAGACAAUGCUAGAGAGAACAAAAUGUGGCCAUGCCAGGAUUAACAAAACUGCCUUCUCUGGUCAAAGGAAUCAUGAAAAAGCUAAAAAGUUGAUUCUUAAAGAAACUGCAGGCCCUCCAGUUUCUCUUUCAUAUUCUUCAAAUAUUGUGGAAAAGGUUCCCAGAACAUCACCACUUGCUUUAAAGAAUAAAACAGUGAAGGAGACUGAACAGCAGCCAAAAAAGGAGGAAAAUCAGGGGAAUCUGAUGGUCUAGAAGCCAAUAAAAGACUGUUAAGAAUGGAGAGAGGGAAAUCUUCAUCACCUUUUGAGACUGAAGAUAUUUUAUUAUGUUUUAGAGAAGACAGAUCUGGACAUCACUAACUCACAAGAUGGAGGGAAGGAAAGUCAACUAGUCAGAGCCUAGGUGGUACCCACCUCACUGUUGUAAUGGACCACAACAAUGAUGUCGCUUGCAGGACACUUCCCUGGGGGAAGACUCUGGCAACUUGGCUGCUCACUAUGUUCUUCUUUUCAUAUAAAAAAGCAGGAGACACAGUCUCCAGCAACCCAAAUAAUUAAGUACUCAUAAACUUUCAGUUAAAAGUCACAUAAAUUUGAGGAAAGUUGAGUCACAUUAAAUUGUACUGACUUCUGUAGAUGACUAGGAAACAUUUUUAAAAUGCAGCUUGUAGAUCUGCAUAAUGGAAAAAUCAAAAAAAGUAAAUAUACCUUAGGAGUUUUAAGCCCAAAGGGAAAUAUCAGUAGACCGUUUUUAACUGCAGGUUCUCAUCCC
rnacentral:lncRNA from 1 species